GGGUUGUUAGCUCAGUUGGUAGAGCAGCGGACUCUUAAUCCGUAGGUCGAGUGUUCGAGCCACUCACAACCCACCA
rnacentral:tRNA from 38 species